CACCAUCUUCUUCUUCCUCCUUCCUGCCUUCUUCCCCAAUCUCUAGACCUCCAAUCUCUCUCUCUCUCUCUAAAACUCAACACCCCAUCAAUCAAAAACCCAACUUUUCUUUUCUUUUCAUCCAAACAGACCUUCCAAAUCCAAAUGGAUCUGGCCCCAGAGGAACUCCAAUUUCUCACCAUCCCUGACAUCCUCAGAGAAUCCACCUCCAUCCCCAAACAGUCGCCCAAAACCUUCUACCUCAUAACCCUAACCCUAAUCUUCCCUCUCUCCUUCGCCAUCCUCGCCCACUCCCUCUUCACCCACCCUCUCCUCAACCAGCUCCAAGGCCCUUCCACCGACCCCGCCCAGCUCCACCAAGAAUGGACCCUCCUCCUCCUCUUCCAAUUCUGCUACCUCAUCUUCCUCUUCGCCUUCUCCCUCCUCUCCACCGCCGCCGUCGUCUUCACCGCCGCCUCCCUCUACACCUCCAAGCCCGUCUCUUUCUCCAACACCCUCUCUGCAAUCCCAAAAGUCUUCAAGCGCCUCUUCAUCACUUUCCUCUGGGUCUCCCUCCUCAUGUUCUGCUACAAUCUCGUCUUCGUCGGCUUCCUCGUCCUCCUCAUCCUCGCCAUCGAUACCCAGAAUUCAUUUCUGCUCCUCUUCUCCGGCAUCGUCAUCUUCCUCCUCUUCUUGGUCGUCCACGUCUACAUCACCGCGCUCUGGCACUUGGCCAGCGUGGUCUCCGUGCUCGAGCCCAUCUACGGGUUCGCCGCCAUGAAGAAGAGCUAUGAGCUGCUCAAGGGGAAGGUUGGGAUGGCCUUCGUGCUCGUUUUCGGGUACUUGACCAUCUGCGGGGUUAUCAGUGCGGUUUUCGGGUCGGUGGUGGUGCACGGCGGGGAGGAUUACGGGGUUUUUGUGAGGAUUGUGGUUGGUGGGUUUUUGGUGUGUGUCCUGGUGAUUGUGAAUUUGGUUGGAUUGCUAUUGCAGAGUGUGUUUUACUACGUCUGCAAAAGCUACCAUCACCAGGGGAUUGACAAGGGCGCUCUGCACGAUCAUCUGGGUGGGUAUCUCGGAGAGUAUGUGCCUCUCAAGAGCAACGUUCAGAUGGAAAACUUGGAUGUCUGAUGGGAAAGGAACAAGAUUGCUUGAAUUGAAUGUGGGUGAGGUUGUGUUUACCUGAUUGGAAAAUCUUCAGGUUGUUUAGAAAAAUAUAAAUAUGAACCGCAGUCAAAGACUUUAAUAUCAUCUUAACAGAAGGAGCCAGUUCUCUGAGUAGUUUGCAGUCCGGUUGGAUCGUAUGCCAGGGAAUUCACUUUGGCAAUGAAAUUAUUCUGAUGUUUAUCGAAAACAUGGCUCGCGAAAUGGGACUGUUUAAAGCUUGCUCUUAGCAACACCAACUGGUUUGUCUCUAGACCUUCGCUCCACAGCUCGGGAAAGUUGCUUCACUGCCUCCUUCGGAAAAUACGCCGGUUUGGUCAGCCACUCUCCCCCGUCUACAACCAACGUUGUUCCGUUGAUGUAUUUUCCUUCAAGCACCAAACAAAUUAAUAACAUCAUGUCUCCACACAAGUGAGAAAUCCGAAAGAACCCCAGCAUCGACUGAUUAUUUUCGAAACAGAUAAUUCAACGAAGGAGAUGAAUUUCGAACCUGCAUCGGAUGAAAGAUAUAGAGCGGCCAUAGCAAUAUCCCAUUUCUUCCCCAGUUUGGAUACAAGAAUCUGCUCUUUGGGUUUGCUCAGCAUCUCCUGAGGUAAAAGUUUACUGAAACCGGCAGUGUCUUCGAUAGGUCCUGGUGCGAUACCAUUCACUCUAAUAUCGUAGUCUGUGCCCCACUCCAACGCCAAGCUUCUCGUAAUGCUGUCGACGGCUGCCUGGUAACAUAGAGGAACCCGAAUCAAUCAGGACGGUCACAGACUGAUCAAAAGUACACACACGGGAGCGAAGAUAUAGCAAAGUUUUCGGUUACUUGACAAACCUUUGCUGCAGACACAUGAAUCUGAUACCAAGUAGCUGUGUAGUGCAACGUCGCGCUUAUGUUUAUUAUCGAUCCACCAGCAGCCGAGUUCUUCCCUGAUGCCCCUUUCUUAAGAUACUUGAGCGCUUCGUGACACAUUGUGAAGGUGCCAACGGCGUCUAUGUCUAUAACUGCAGGAACCAAUUCACGGAAUAAGAAUCCGUUUUAACAGUCUUAAGAGCUUUUCAACAGGAGUAAAACUAACUAGCUAUGUUUUUUA